rnacentral:lncRNA from 1 species
GGUGAGGAGGCGGGGGUGGGUGGGCGGGAAUUUGCCCGAAAGUGGGUCAUCAGGUGCAAAAAGAGUCAAUUUUGCCUAUUUUUCGUUCUUUCUCUUGACCAAGAAGACCCAGGGAUGCUGGUAAAUGUAUCCAGCUGUAGCCUGCAUGUAGAUUGGACCCUAGUUAACGAAUUGACCCCAGCAGUUGUUAGGUCGGAGUGAAUCUGAUCUUGGUUCAGCAGUCUACAGAAGGUCAUUUGGACCAAAAAUACUGAAUUUCACGAUUUUUGCCGAUUUUUGACUUCAAAUGGACCCAAAACCGGAAGUAGUUGUUUCCUAUGCGUAUUUCAAUAAUAAUAACGAUCAGUAGUUAUAUGGCCGUGGGUUUGCACUAUUUUUGCAAGUUUUUUGCCUCUGAACUUUCUGUGUAAGAUACAGAUGUGAAGCCCACCCCUCCAGAAAACCGAGUUUUAGCCAAUUUCAAUUUUCCAAGUCCGUAUUUGUGCUCGAAAUGCUACUUAUACAUGAGAAACGUGAAUAUGGAUAGCCUCAGGUUGACGGAACAUCCAUAACUUUUAAAAUAAGUAUCAUAAAGUGGACUUCUAAAAGUAUGGAACGCCAUUGGAGCCAAAUAACGGUUAAUUGGGUACGCCCGUCAUAUGACGGUCACCGCAUGGUAAGGGUUAAACUUGUCAAUGAUAAAGCUAUGAAAAGUCAAGAAUUUUUUUCUUUGGUACCAAUUUUUCAUAGAUUAAUGAAAACUAUCAUUUUUUUCCCUG